UUGACAAUUAGUCUGGCGCUUUGUCAGUUUAUGGCUUGUAAAUGAGAGUCAUUAUGGCGGAAUGCUCUCUAAUAUCCUCAUGCUGUCUGAACUCUGCAGGGUCAGAGCAGAGGAUACUGGUCUCUCAAAGGCUCCAGGACAAACUAACUUUUCCUGGCGUCCUUCCACUACAGCUUUUUGAUGCCACUGUAUUUGAAACGGAUGCUGCGAUCGAUGCCCAAAGCAUUUGAAUUCUGCAUCAGCAGCUAUCUGUCAUGCUGUAAUAAAUGCACUGUUGAUAUUCUUCAGUUUGAUACUUUUCUCUAUGCGUUAGUCCUUUAGAGGCACAGAUAACUGAUUGCUUUUUUGGUUAUCAUUUUAAGUGCCUCAAACUUGAAUUACUUUCAGAUCUGAUGGCAUGAAGCUUGCAAAUGCAUUAAAAAUCAAAGACUAGAUCUUCUGAAGUGUUGUUCUAGCAGCCUGGGAAUAUGUAAACAGUAUGUUAUAUGUUUAUCAGUUGGACUGAUAAAAACCAAUGCAC
rnacentral:lncRNA from 1 species